GUUUCAAGUAUUCAAGAUAGGGAAGAGGGUGGAUCUUGAAGAUCUUGAGGUACUCAGAAGGGGAGAAACAAAGGAGAGCGGCAAUGGAUGUGUUCAUCCUUUAACAAAGCUUAGAGGUGUCAGCCACUGUUUAUCUGUUGUACUUCUUUAAGUCUCAUAGCAACCCUAGAAGGUGGGUACUAGCAUUCUCUCCAUGUUCAAAAGGGGAAACUGAAGCAAAGGGGAUUAAGUCACUCAACCAAGUUCACACUGCCAAGAAGUGACCGAACUGGGAUUUGGACUCCUGCUCUCAGGUCCUCUACUCAGCAGGGAGGAACCCUGGAGAACAGAAGACCAGGACAGGAGGAGCAGGUCCCUGAGGCUCAGGUGUGGAGAGGUAGAGGAGCUGACAUAAGACCUGAUGGGCUGAAGUAGUAUCAGGUUCAGAACGUGGGGGAAUCCUGAUUCUGAUGCUCCAAAUCACUCACUUCUGAUUUUUUUCUUUCAUGGACCAAGAAAAUGACUUCAGAAGAAGACCCAGCAGCCACCCUAGAUGCUUGCGCUGGCAACUGUGGGCCCCGAAAGAGGCCAACCUCCACAUCAUCCUCACCAGAGCCCCCAGAGUUCAGCACUUUCCGGGCCUGCCAGUGAGGCUGAGGAUUGGGGAACACUUCUAUUCAGCCCUGUCCCUCCACCUGCCUGAGCCUUUCCGGGGCCUGAGGUUCCCUUCAGCUACUUCAGGGGUGACAGGGGUUUAUGUUCCCUGGCUGCUACCUUCUCAGGGAGUUGAAGAGAGAUGAAGGGGUCCUCUGGCCUUGGGACCUUGCUCAUAGAAGAGUGGGAGAGGGGAUGAAGGCAAUGGCAUGGAGGCUGAGCCCAAAGCAGGAAGCCCUUCUGUGGAUUCCUCCUUCUCAAGACCAUCAGGGAAGAUGUCUGGAUUUCUUCUGGCCCCCCAGCUGGGCAUAAGAGGUCCACACUCUCCACGCUGUGCCCCCCAGUUCUUCCAUUUUCAGUCACUCUGAUUCAGGUACCUGACUUCCCAACUGGGUUUUUGAGCUCAGGGUUGGGGGGAUGUUCUGUGUGUUCCCCUUUUGGCAUACCUAAGUUAUUAAUUAUAACACAUGUUGAGGUGGUCCCAAGGUCUUUCUGGUGUGUAAUCCUUCAAACCUGGGACCUUCGGCAUCCAACUCUUGGACAGCUGAGGGUGGUAGCAUGCCCAAAUCCAUGAUGUUUAAGGUACCCCUGAACUGAGUCAGGAUGGUGUAGGAGACCUAUGAGGGGUUUUGUGAAGAGAGGGGACAACAACACAAGGUUGUCCCCUGCUAGGUUCCUUCAACUGUGGGGGAACAGGAGGUAGAAUGAUGUUGUGUAGGGGUAAAGGGGUAUUGGGGAAAAGGAGGUGUAAAUGAG
rnacentral:lncRNA from 1 species